rnacentral:rRNA from 1 species
GAUCAUGGCUCAGGAUGAACGCUAGCGACAGGCUUAACACAUGCAAGUCGAGGGGCAGCAUAAAAGUAGCAAUACGUUGGUGGCGACCGGCGCACGGGUGAGUAACGCGUAUGCAACCUACCUAUCAGAGGGGAAUAACCCGGCGAAAGUCGGACUAAUACCGCAUAAAACAGGGGCACCGCAUGGUGAUAUUUGUUAAAGAAAUUCGCUGAUAGAUGGGCAUGCGUUCCAUUAGGUAGUUGGUGAGGUAACGGCUCACCAAGCCGACGAUGGAUAGGGGAACUGAGAGGUUGGUCCCCCACACUGGUACUGAGACACGGACCAGACUCCUACGGGAGGCAGCAGUGAGGAAUAUUGGUCAAUGGGCGGGAGCCUGAACCAGCCAAGUCGCGUGAAGGAAGAAGGAUCUAUGGUUCGUAAACUUCUUUUGCAGGGGAAUAAAGUGCAGGACGUGUCCUGUUUUGUAUGUACCCUGAGAAUAAGGAUCGGCUAACUCCGUGCCAGCCGCCGC